AACGAACGCUGGCGGCAGGCCUAACACAUGCAAGUCGAACGCUCUCCUUGCGAGAGAGUGGCGCACGGGUGAGUAACACGUGGGAAACUACCUUUUGGUACGGAAUAAUUUUUGGAAACGAAAACUAAUACCGUAUGGUCCCUCCGGGGUAAAGAUUUAUCGCCAAAAGAUGUGCCCGCGCCCAAUUAGCUAGAUGGUAAGGUAACGGCUUACCAUGGCGACGAUUGGUAGCUGGUCUGAGAGGAUGAUCAGCCACACUGGAACUGAGACACGGUCCAGACUCCUACGGGAGGCAGCAGUGGGGAAUAUUGCGCAAUGGAGGAAACUCUGACGCAGCCAUGCCGCGUGAGUGAAGAAGGCCCUAGGGUUGUAAAGCUCUUUUACCCGCGAUGAUAAUGACAGUAGCGGGAGAAAAAGCCCCGGCUAACUUCGUGCCAGCCGCCGCCGUAACAC
rnacentral:rRNA from 1 species